rnacentral:lncRNA from 1 species
CAGGAUCGUGGUUCAUGGGGAUAAGAUGAUGAAAUCUAUAGUCCCUGACUCAGCCAGUGUGUUUGAUUUCAUAAAAGAAUUUGGACUGACGGAAACUCAGGUACCAUGAUUUGAUGAUGGGUUGCAAUGUGGGAGCAGAUAAUUGAACCAAGUAGUGUCUAAUGGCAAUUUCAAUGCUGUUCAAUAGAUUUGCAAUGGAGGUCCAGCAUUUUACUUGUGUCGGUUUCCUUCUACAUCCUAUUGAGUAAAAAUAUAUUUCUACCUAGUCACCAUGCCUCGUGGUACUGAAAUUAGGAACACUAAAAUCUGUGACUCUGGUUGCACUCUAUGAACCGUGGCUCCACAAUUAUAAUCCAGUGACUCCAGCAACUAGUAUUGUGGAAUAGAACAGGGUUUCCCAAGUACCCCCUACCAGUCCAGGAUUUAGGGAUUACCCUGUUGUGUCUAACAUGGUUUUUUUUUUCUUAAACAUCUUAGAAACAUAACUGAGUAAUCCCUAAAUCCUGGACUGUAAUGAGGUACUUAAGGACUGGGUAGGGGACAACUGGAAAAAAGAUUGUUAAAUUAGUAUUUUCUACGAAUACACUUUGCUAUAUGCCUUAUGAUUGUUCUAGAGACUCCUAUCUUAACUUUUUGCUGGAUCACUUUCAAAAAUGGUGCAAUCUCACUGGUGCAAUGGUGCAGAAGAUCAGUGUUGCAUCUUGUAAAUCAGUGACCAAUUUGAAUUGUACUAUUGUACAUACUUUGAAAGACCCAUUGGAACCAUUAUUUCCAAACUAGCCACUGUGUUCGGGUUCUUUUUAUUGUUUGGUGUAUGUCUACCCUAAGCUUUGUGUAUACCAUCGUGUCCCUAGGAAUCACAUUAAUGUGCGUCUGUUUGUUUGUUGUUAUUUUCAGGCUCUGGAAGUCAGCGAUCACUUCCCAGUGCAGGUGCAAAUCAAAAAAGCCAAAAAUUUUGUGGAUAAAACCAAAUCUUUCUUCAAAAAGAUAAAAGACAAAAUUUCAGGAAAGUGAUCAUUUCAACAAUAGUUACCUGUUUGGCACUAUAUCCUGUACUAUGUAGUUAUCCUGUAAUAAUAAUCAUGAUAUAUAAUGCACAUGACCCAAAAAAUUGUGACAAAGGCACAUUAUUAUUAUUUUUUUUAAAUAGUAAAAGAGAAACGUUUUGACGCAAUGGAAAGACAUAAAAUAACGUAAAGCUAGUAAAUAUUACAUAUAAAAAUAAAUUAAUGUGGCCAAGGGAAAAACUUAAAGGGACAGUAUAGUCACUAAAAUAACUUUAGCAGUUUUGGUGUAUAGAAUUUGCCCCUGCAGUCUCACUGCUAAAUUCUCUGCCAUUUAAGAGUUAAAUAACCUUGUUUAUACAGCUCUAGUUACAGCUCCCUGCCUGACUUACACAGCCUUCCUAAACAUUUUCUUUAAAGUGAGCUCUAAUGUUUAAACUUCCUUUAUAGCACAGUGUGUUUAAUCUAGAAUGUUGUAUCUGUUAACAGCCUUCUAGAUCCUGCAGGAGCCCUGUGUUAAUUAAAGUUUAAUUUACAGAACAGGAUUGUGAUUGAAAAUGAAACCAUUUUAAUAAAACCUUCAUGCAGACUGUGUCAGUCACAGCCAGGGGAGGUGUAGAUAAAGCUGCAUGGACAGAAGCAAUGUAGGUGUGAUUGUGUAAGACACUGACCCACAGGAAAAUGGAGCUCUUGAUAGGUACAAUUCUGCACCAAAUACUCACAUGCACCAAAUACUCACAUGAGUUCAUUAUAGAUGUUAUAUUUGUUUUUCUGUGGCUGUCAGAUAAUCCUAUAGAUAAAGCUCUCGUCAGAGCUUAAAGGACCACUAUAUGCACCCAGACCACUUCAGCUUAAUGAAGUGGUCUGGGUGCCUGGUCCAUCUAGGAUUAACCCUUUCUUCUAUAAACAUAGCAGUUUCAGAGAAACUGCUAUGUUUACAAAUGGGUUAAUCCAGCCUCUAGUGGCUGUCUCAUUGACAGCCGCUAGAGGCCCUUCCGUGCUUCUCACUGUGAUUUUCACAGUGAGAAGACGCCAGCGUCCAUAGGAAAGCAUUAAAAAUGCUUUCCUAUGGACUGGCUGAAUGCGCACACCGCUCCUGCUGCGCAUGCAGCCAAUGACGGCGAAGAGGAGGAGGAGAGUUCCCUGCCCGACGCUGGAGAAAGAGGUAAAUUUAACCCCUUCCACCCCCUAGAGCCCAGCGGGAGGGGGGCCCUGAGGGUGGGGAGGACCUAGAGACCCUAUAGUUCCAGGAAAACGAGUAUGUUUUCCUGGCACUAUAGUGGUCCUUUAAAUGCAUUUCAGUGUACCACCACUUGCUUACAUUAGCCUAAUUUGUUUUGUCAUAUUACAUGAAUGUUCUGCUUGCGCGUUGUGCAGCUCUGUGAUAUAUUAACUGAUUCCUUUAUAAAUAAAAUGAUACUUGCAGGCAAACAGAUGGAAGAUGGGUCUCUGGCUGUCUUAAUUAUUAUGGACUGCAGAGUCGACAGCUGGGUAACGGAACAUCCUUUCAGGAGAAUGGUGCAAUAACUCAGGAGUGAAAUAGUUACUGCUUAAAUAAAGCUGUAAACUGAGGGAUCUGGAGAAAUACUAGAGGCUCAGCAUAAAUGGUGACAGCAGAAUCAAUUAGGAAAAUCUAAAACUGCAAUAACUAUUAUAGGAUCACUAUAGUUUUAGGAAUACAUACUUGUAUCCCUAACCCUAUAGUGCCCCAGUCCUUAGUUCUAUAUAGGUCAGUGCCGUUGUUUCCCAUAAAAAUUUGUAAAAUCAAAGUUUUAUUCAUCUCUCUAUCUCCCAUGGUGCCAUUGAGGAGGCAUGGCCUCCUCCCUGAUAAUCCAAUCCAAUGCUCAAAGAAAAGCAUUGUGGUCCAGAUGCCAUGAGUGGCGAGCUCAGUGCACACAUACAAGCUUCCCCUUGGGAAAGCAUUGUAUUCAGUGCUUUCUGGUGAGCUUCCGUGUCACAUGAGUUAUAGACACAAUGAGGUCACUGAUAUUAUUGGAGCACUGUCAGGACUCGGAUCAGGGAGGACCAUCCAGACUUAGGUUGCUAAAUGCCCUGAUGAACCAGCAUUCAAUCCUGCCUUAUAUUUACUACCUGACUAGGUUUAACAUACCUGAAAAACACCUAUUUCAUCAGCGAUACUCUUUCGACUUACUCUUUCCAGUUUAAGGUCAAAAGAAUGAAAUAAGUAUUCAUAAUCAUGCCCAUAAUCAUAAUAAAUUGUAUUAUUACUUUAUCAUUAAAUUUGUUUAUGAACUUUUCCUACGUUUCCUUUAUUAUCGUCAUUCAGCAAUCAGAAAACUGGUGCAAGGAUCAAAUUGUUGUAGGAGACAUUUCCCAACACAUC